UACGAGGUGACAAGCGUUGUCCGGAAUUAUUGGGCGUAAAGGGAGCGCAGGCGGUUGGAAUAGUCUGAUGUGAAAGCCCACGGCUUAACCGUGGAAUUGCAUUGGAAACUGUCCAACUUGAAUGCAGAAGAGGAAAGCGGAAUUCCAUGUGUAGCGGUGAAAUGCGUAGAUAUAUGGAGGAACACCAGUGGCGAAGGCGGCUUUCUGGUCUGUGAUUGACGCUGGAGGCUCGAAAAAGCGUGGGGGAGCGAAACAGGAUUAGAUACCCCGGGUAGUCC
rnacentral:rRNA from 1 species